AUUGAACGCUGGCGGCAGGCCUAACACAUGCAAGUCGAACGAGUGGCGGACGGGUGAGUAAUGUCUGAGAAACUGCCUGCUGGAGGGGGAUAACUACUGGAAACGGUAGCUCAUACCGCAUACCAUCAGAUGUGCCCAGAUGGGAUUAGCUUGUUGGUGGGGUAAAGGCUCACCAAGGCGACGAUCCCUAGCUGGUCUGAGAGGAUGACCAGCCACACUGGAACUGAGACACGGUCCAGACUCCUACGGGAGGCAGCAGUGGGGAAGAUUGGGCAGUGGGCGCAAGCCUGAUGCAGCCAUGCCGCGUGUGUGAAGAAGGCCUUCGGGUUGUAAAGCACUUUCGGCGAGGAGGCGUUACUCGCAGAAGAAGCACCGGCUAACUCCGUGCCAGCAGCCGCGGUAAUUC
rnacentral:rRNA from 1 species